UGUACUGCUUUAGGGUAUAACUCUAAAACUCCAUAGCUUGUCAUCUACUGUUCUCCCUGUCUAUUCAGAUAAAACAAUUCUUCUAGGCCUGUAACUCAAGGACACCCUACUGCCCCAGGGCCUGAAAAGUAUAAACAAAAAUGAAUUAGGGGAGGAACAAACUGGGGGUAUAUUAUUUCAUUACCUGAAGCUGUAAUUGGAGGAUUAAUCCCUGAUAUGUAAAUAGACCAAACUUAUAAUUGUCUAAAAAAUUCAUGACCGUUGUCCAUCUUGGGUGUAGCCCCUCUUCGGAGGCUUUUGACUGCCCAAGGUGUACCUAUUGAAGGCCUUUAAUAAAUACUCACUUUAUUCUCUUAAUCUUGUCUAGCCUCUGUUCUAGGUAGCCACUCCAAGGCAUCAGCUCAUGUAAAACGCUGUAUGCAAAAAUGAAAUGUCAAAAUGCUCCAGGAACCUGAGCCUGUGUUAACCACAUACACUAUUCACCUUCCCUUCAAGAAUCAGCACAGGAAUGCAUAACCCAAGUAACCAGAACAAGCAUCUGAGAACUCAUGUGUUUUUUGAUAUGUCUGAUGAGAAUGGAAAAGCUCUGCAUGUCCUCACUCAUGCUGUCAUAAGCAAGAGCAGCCAUCUCAGUUCUUGGAGAAGUUGUUCUGCUUAGCUGAAUUCCUUCGAGAGGAAAUUGAACCAAAACCUCUGUUCCAGAUACUGGAAAUUUACACCAGAAGGAAUGGACUCCACUUUCAUAACAUGUAAGUGAGGUUUGUACAAAUCUGACCUGCAAUACUUCAUGUGCCAUCCAUACCUUAUCCAUGAUUUUCCGGUGAGCUGUUACACACUGAUGUACAAUGGGUUUGAGCCUGAAGCGGAACAGGAUGAGAUCUUGAGCAACUGAUUUCCAGAGCAGCAACAAUGCUUUACUGGGGCUGAUUUUUGUUAAUGCUAGUAAGGAAAGAUUAAAAUGAAUGCCUUUCAUUAAAACCAAAAUCAACAGCUAUUAGCUAGUUGUAGUUAUUAGCUAGUUCU
rnacentral:lncRNA from 1 species